GCUCCCGUCUCACCUGAAGAGCUCCGACAGCAUCAAUGUCUCCUGGCGCAGUCCGACCGCUCGUCCUCCAGCUUCGCAGGAGAGCCUCCAUCGGCCGCUGUCUGCUAAAACACCUGUCGGGAGCACCUUGAGCAAAACUAAAGCGGUGAGUUCUCGUGGAUCCUCUUCACUCCAGCGCUCGCGCAGCGAUGUGGACGUGAACGCCGCGGCCCGUGUGGAGUGUGUAAUGUCUGCCG